GGGGCCUGUGGGCCUUGGUAUUUUCCGAUCCCAGCUGCUCUGGGAGGUGGAAAGUAUUUGGGGAUCAGGCUUGGGGGCGCGGUGGAGGCGCCCCGGCAGAAGCCACCCCUGAUGCACCCUUGGAGCUCCGGCCGGGGGCAGUGGGUGCCGCGUGUCUGGGGCGACCCACGCGGCCUGGGGCAGCAUCUGGCCAUGUGUGCAGACAGACCUGGGCCGGCGGCGGGCGUCCUGGGAAGCCUGGGAACCGCGGUGCCGCCCAGCCCAGGGGCCACCCUCUUCCCCACGCUCCCGCUGCCAGGGCCUGGCCCGCUCUGGGCACCAUCGCCCUGAACCCCAGGGGUACAUGGUUACUGUGAAGGGGCCCCGGCGGCGGCGGGCACCUGCGUGGCAGUGCCCCCUCCACGCAAGACCCAGACUUCUUGUGCCUGUGGAUGGGAGUGGCCUUGGCCCGGGCCCUGGGCUCUGUGCAGGGGAAACCCCACAGGAAACGAGCCUGGCCAAAUGGCCGCCCUUCCCGUUCUCGUCCCUGGGACACGAAUAUGCUGUCUCACUUCCGGAGGCGGCCCUGGGAGGCUGGCUGCUGUGCUGGACCAAGUCGGCUCCCAGUUGGUGCCCCCAGACCCUCAGGGUACAGGGCUGGGCUGGGGCCAGUGGGGGGGGGUGUUGGCGUGAGUGGGGGUCAAGUGAGACACUGUCACUGCCUGCUUCCUGGUGGUAGGUGACCCCAGAUCUGGACAUUGGGGUCUUUACGGUGUGGGGCUUCCUUGUUUCCCUUGUCCUGCCCGAUGAGGAUGGCAUCACCCUGUCCUGAUUUUGUGUGUGACGUAUGGUACACCAUUUAUGAAGCGGGUAGUUGACGCUGUUUGUAGAUGGGGAAACUGAGGCCCAGAGAGGUUGAGUGGUUGGCCCAGGGUCACCCAGUUGGGAAGCUGCAGAGCAGGGGUCAGGGUGGGGUUCAGGUGGUAGGCAGACUCUAGAAUUGGUGUCUUCUAGCCACUGGGCACUUAUCAUAAGAGGAUCUGUCACAACUGUGUGACCUGUAUAGUCUCAAGGCUCCCUUCUUGAAGGACCUGAACUGGAUCUCAUCUGUUACAGCUGCCUUGAAAACCUUCUUUUGGGCAGUGCUGGUGACGGAACCCGGGGCUUCGUGUAGCUAAGCUCCUGCUCGUCUAUUAAGCGGCACCCUAAGCCCCAUGAAGUUCUUAAUUUGCAAACAAGAAACCAGAUUUUCAUUCUGCACUGGUCCCCACAAAUUCAGUGGCCUGCCCUGGUGUGGGGCGCUCGCCAAGCGACGUAUCCCUCGGUGAACUCUCGCGGGGUUAUGUGCGAGAAGCUCUUGGCUCCAUUUUGCAGAUGGGGAAACUGAGGCGUGGGGCAUUUGGAAAGAUGCAGAACAGGAGAUUUGAACAUCACUAGGGCUUUUUGGGUGGCAAAGCCAGUGGUGUCAGCCUGGGUCCUGUGUCCUGGGGGGUCGUAUGAGUGCUCCGGGGGAGCUGGGCCCUCUGUGCCCAUAUCCGCCCUGAAGGGAUUCGGGCUGAGGCCCGGCCACAGCCACAGAGGAGACAGGACCACUGGGGGGAGGCCUGGUGGUUUCCUCCUGGCCCUCCGGCUUCUAGGAAGUGGCGCCAGCUGGGGUGAGAUCACUUCCUCACCCGCCUGCCUGCCCCCCCUCGGCUUCCUCUCGCCACGGCCCCAUUUGGCCUGCCCAAGGCACAGGGGUGGGGGUGUGGGGAGGAGUGGGGGGAAGGCUGGGAACUGGCUCUGGGAGUUCCUGCAGCCUCCUUGGCCCAAGGCGGCUCUCUGGGCAUCUCUGCCUCUAGGGCUGGGACCAGGAGUGGGGGUCCAGUCACGGCCAGCGCUGCCUCCUGCGACUGCCUGUGGGGAGCAGCUUCCCUGCGGGCCCCAGAAGGAGGCCAGUGAGGACCUGGAGGGGUGGUGUCCCCAAUUCUCAUUACCUCCUUUGCUCUUUCUCGCCUCCAGGUGCCAGCCUCUGGGCCCACCCAGUGCCCCUAACCCUGUGCCACGGCCGGCUGGGGUUCCUGGGGAUGGGAUUUGCUGCCAAUCACAAAUCACAUUGCCAGGGAUUUCCAACCGACCCUGAGCUCUGCCUCCGGGGCCACCGUUGCUGCUGAGGAUGUCACCGGGGACAGGGUGUCAGAUGCCCUGCCACCACCUAUGCUGGCCUGAGGAGCAGGGCUUAGCUGCUUGUGAGCAGGAUCCACACCAAGUCGUGUUCACAGUGGCUAAGUUCCGCCCCCCGGGCUCCCACCUCCUCGGGGCCUGCCGCUGCCCGCUGCCCGGCUCCCUGGGCUCCGCCCCCCGUGCCUACUGAGCUGAAACACAGUUGGUUCGUGCACACUGGCUCAGUUCAGCAGGAACAGGGGUCAAGCCCCCUCGGAGUCCGCAGCCCCUGUGCCGCUGGGUCGGCCGCCCAAAGCUGAGGCCAGCCCCAGACCCAGGUGUGUCUGGAGAAGGGACGAGGAAAGCGGGGGUGGCCGGCCGAGCUGGCUGUCCUGUCUGCUGCAGGUCUCUUCUCCCUAGUCUGCCCUUUGGGGACCCUCCCUUGGCCACUGUGGGUUGGGCUGUGGUCCCGGGUGGACAUGGAGAUAGGUGGGUGGCCCUUCCAGAAAAAGGGAAGCCAGCUGUGUCCCCUGGGGUCUGGCACCCCAGCCCCUCCUCUCCUCAGCCUGCCCCUGUCCCAUCAACGAGGCAGUUACCCAAGAGGAAGCUGCUCGGCCCCUGACCGUUAAGUGCCAACUCCCAGCUUCCGGAACCCAGCUGGCCUGGCCUGGCCGAGUGAGCCUGCCCUGCUCCCGGGGCCUGCAGACUCCUAAUUGUGGGGAUGAACAGUGACACCUGUGCCUGCCGGGAACGAGGGACAGGGAACAAGGCCCAGGUGGGCCCAGAAAGGACACAAGCAGGCUGACCUCCUCCUCGGUGGCCUUGAAGGUGGAACUUAAAGCCUAUCCUGAAAUCGGCUGGGAUGAGGGCCCCUUGGGCUGGGACCCAGAGGCUGAGGGGAGCCCCCAGGCCAUCAGCACUGGACCAGGUCCUCUUUCCCAGCCCAGGGGCAGGCCGAAGCCUGGGGUAGGAGGGAGAGUUUGUGUUGUGCGUUGUGCAGUUAAUUAAAUAAAGUCACUAGCCUUGUCCUGAAGGUCUGCCGUCUGGUCCUUGGAGAUCCAGGUUUUGAUCCCCCUGAAUCCCGGCACCCGGGCUCCUGACCCCACCUGCUCUGAGGAAGGUGGGAGAAGGUUGGAAUUUAUUCAUGUGGAUGGAGGGUGUCCUGAGCUUGAACAGGGUGACUGACUUUUGGGGUGACAGGGAAACCCCCAUAGGGAGCAUUAACUGAGGUUACCUGAAGGAUGCCCAGGGCCCCGGGGAUGGAACUGGCCCCGAGGCUGUGGUGGUGGGGUGACCCUGGGCCUUAGGGGUGAUGCGGACACAACUGGGAUGUCAGAGUCUAGAGCUAGUGACAUUUGGGGGGCAGCUGAGAAUUGAGGCUUGGCGGGACAGAUACUUGGGGUACUGGCACCAGAGCAUGCAGAGAG
rnacentral:lncRNA from 1 species